ACGGAAGGCAGCAGUGGGGAAUAUUGGGCAAUGGGCGAAAGCCUGACCCAGCAACGCCGCGUGGAGGAUGACGGUCUUCGGAUUGUAAACUUCUUUAAUUGGGGAAGAAUAAAUGACCUACCCAAAGGAUAAGUCACGGCUAACUACGUGCCAGCAGCCGCGGUAAUACGUAGGUGACAAGCGUUAUCCGGAUUUACUGGGCGUAAAGGGCGUGUAGGCGGUUUGGCAAGUCAGAAGUGAAAUUCCUGAGCUCAACUCGGGCGCUGCUUCUGAAACUGCUAGACUUGAGUGCUGGAGGGGAUAGCGGAAUUCCUAGUGGAGCGAUAAAAUGCGCAGAUAUUAGGAAGAACACCGGUGGCGAAGGCGGCUAUCUGGACAGUAACUGACGCUGAGGCGCGAAAGCGUGGGGAGCAAACAGGAUUAGAUACCCUGGUA
rnacentral:rRNA from 1 species